AACGAACGCUGGCGGCAUGCCUAACACAUGCAAGUCGAACGAGACCUUCGGGUCUAGUGGCGCACGGGUGCGUAACGCGUGGGAACCUGCCCUUAGGUUCGGAAUAACUCCCCGAAAGGGGUGUUAAUACCGGAUAAUGUCUUCGGACCAAAGAUUUAUCGCCUUUGGAUGGGCCCGGGUUGGUUUAGCUAGUUGGUAGGGUAAAAGCCUACCAAGGCGACGAUCCAUAGCUGGUCUGAGAGGAUGAUUAGCCACACUGGGACUGAGACACGGCCCAGACUCCUACGGGAGGCAGCAGUGGGGAAUAUUGGACAAUGGGCGAAAGCCUGAUCCAGCAAUGCCGCGUGAGUGAUGAAGGCCUUAGGGUUGUAAAGCUCUUUUACCCGGGAUGAUAAUGACAGUACCGGGAGAAUAAGCUCCGGCUAACUCCGUG
rnacentral:rRNA from 1 species